GCAUAUGUUAGACACCUAUCUUGCUCCUCGCCCUCUAUAACGACUCCAUGAAGCUUUGCAUCCUCAUGAUUACGAUCUGGCAUGUCCUGCUGGGGGUAGAUUUAUGCAUAUAGAAGAGAGGUACUCAUAAGAUGAUGGAGGAGGCAAGCUACAUAUAGAAGAGAGAUUGGUGGAGCUAGUGAAGUUUAAGUUUGUGAGAAAAAAAAUAGGGUCACAAAUGCUCGAAAUGCUGGAAGAGCUGUUGUUAAGGAGGGUAUUGUCCUAGGCUGAUGACCAAAGCUGCAAAUGAUGGUGUUGAUGGUCGGCUCCUCUCUGAGUUUGAUCAGUUUUGAGACACGCGAGGGUCUUUGUUAUCAAAUAGCUUGUCUUCUCGAACAGUGGGAUUCGAGGUCAUCAAUGUGUGUGACGAGUUCAUCAUGCCACAACAGUGGUGGUGAUGAUGCUUCGCCUCGUCUACAACUUCUCCACCUUGGAGCAUAGGAGGCUGCUUUCUGAUGCAUGACUAGAGGGUGGCCUCGUUCUUUGACUACAUGGCUUUUUUUACUGAUCGUGAUGCAUCAAUGUAAACUUCAAGUCCUUCUCAAAGGUGCUACAGUCAUCUCUUAUGUUAGUGGACGAGACUGGCAAGAGAUUGUAGGCGAAUAUGGUUCGAUUUGUGUCACUGCAAAACCCAAUUUGAGGUCUAGUGCUGAUGUGAUGUACCCAUCAGUUUUGCAGCUACUAUCUUGGACGAGUACUCGACUUAUGUUUACCGACCCAAUGUAUAUGAAUUGGUUAUUUCAACCCUGGAAGACCAAGUGAAGUGAUAGAAGAACUUUCCAUGGAGUUGUUAGGAUUAAAAUGUGCAAAUUUGGGUUCUUUCUCCUCUGUAUAAUUCAAUACUCAUACUUUGGCAUGUGGAAAGGUUGAGGAGAUCCCAAAGAAUUUCCCUUUCAAACUCACCGACAAGAAGUGGCACAAUUCUGGUUUCCAUGCCAAGCCUAAUCACUGGAUGUUAGGCGGAAGGACAAGGACGACAAAGAGAAAGACGAUGACCAGGAAGAUGGCGGGAAUGCCCCACAAAGUCCAGCAUUCUCCUCAGAGUCACAGUCUCCAAGAAUGACGUCCCAAGCCACGAGUUCACUUGCAUCGCCUACCCGACGAGAUCAUGAUCGACACCUUGCCCGUUAGGCAGCCGGUUGCGAACGACUUGGAGGAGAUGAUUGCAUACGAGGGUUCUGAUUUCAACGACCUCGACGAGAACCUGCAGAGGGCGUUCCACAAGUGCGUGGAGCUGCGGUCUGCUAUGGGGUAGUCUCUUGUUCUUAAUGUUGUGAUUUUGAAGUCACUGCUUAACAUGCAGUCGUUUUAUACAUGAUGUGCAUGAUAUCAUGUUGUAUAUUGUCGUUGUCAUGGAAAGAUUCCGAGUGGUAGCUAGAUGUGUGUUCUGUGUCGCGUUGGUCUAGCUAGGUUCAGGCUGGCAUUAGCAUUUUUGUUUCAUGCUUGCUAUUGGCGGUUAAUAUGCUUGUUCCAAAUCGGCAUAUUUCAUGAGCCUACCUCUACUUGUUGGGAUUUUUCUUUACCCAGUGUUCUUACUAUUGGUACGGACUUGGAGUGUAUGUCGCGGGCUUGGUCACUGUGCUGGAAUUGGGGACCUUUUUCCUGGGCGGAUGUUUCCAUCGAUUCUUCUCACGCAUGGUGCCUACUUUAAUUACCUCAAAUGCUCAUG